GAACGGAUCCGACGCUGGUGAGGAAAAUGACGACGACGCUGAGGACAACGAGGAUGCCAAGGGUCUCGCGGUCGGAGAAAGUGCGGCCGAAGAGGACGAGAGGAGGAUCGGAGGGGCGGAAGAGGUAGAGGAAGAGCCAGGCGGCGAGGAGAGAAAGGAGGAGGAGGAGAGAGAAAGGGUUGGUGAGGAGAGAGAAGGCAAGGGUAAGGGCGAUGAGGGAGAGGUAGUUGACGCGGAAGUAGGUGUAGUUCUUGCGUACGCGAAGGGCGGCCUCGGAGAAGGACUCGGGGCGGGAGAAAGCGUUGCGGUCGACGAGCUCGGACCAG
rnacentral:lncRNA from 1 species